UCCCAGCACUCCAAGUCGCAGCCACAAUUAUUGGGUCUAAAACAUCCGUAGCUUGCACUGUAAGUCUCUUGUGAAAUCGGGCAUCUUAAGUGUCCGUCGCGCAGGAGAUACUGCUUUGCUAGAGACCGGGAGGCGUAAGAAGUACAGAUAGGGUAGCGGUAAAAUGUGUUGAUAUCUUGAGGAACACCGGUGGCGAAGGCGGCUUACUGGGUCUUUUCUGACGCUGAGGCACGAAAGCCAAGGUAGCAAACGG
rnacentral:rRNA from 1 species